rnacentral:rRNA from 1 species
ACGCUCGACACCUACUGGAGGCAGCAGUGGGGAAUAUUGCACAAUGGGGGAAACCCUGAUGCAGCGACGCCGCGUGAGCGAAGAAGUAUUUCGGUAUGUAAAGCUCUAUCAGCAGGAAAGAAGAAAGACGGUACCUGACUAAGAAGCCCCGGCUAACUACGUGCCAACAGCCGCGGUAAUCUGAGCGGCUGGCAAGGC